rnacentral:rRNA from 1 species
CCUACGGGUGGCAGCAGUGAGGAAUAUUGGUCAAUGGCCGGAAGGCUGAACCAGCCAAGCCGCGUGAAGGACGAAGGUGCCAAGAAUUGUAAACUUCUUUUGUCACGGGACAAAAUCAGGCUCGAGAGCCUGACCGCGGGUACUUGAAAAAAAAGCAUCGGCUGACUCCGUGCCCGCCGCCGCGGUAAUACGGAGGAUGCGAGCGUUAUCCGGAUUUCGUGGGUUUUACGGGUGCGUAGGCGGGCUGUUAAGUCAGCGGUAAAAGCCCGGGGCUCAACCCCGGCGAGCCGUUGAAACUGGCUGUCUUGAGAUGUCGAGAGGUAUGCGGAAUGCGCAGUGUAGCGGUGAAGUGCUUAGAUAUUGCGCAGAACUCCGAUUGCGAAGGCAGCAUACCGGCGGCGUUCUGACGCUGAGGCACGAAAGCGUGGGUAUCGAACAGGAUGAGAUACCCGGGUAGUC